GGGUCAGAAGGUUGGUCGUGCCACCGGUACGUACUGGUCUCACUGAUUCCUCCUUCCUGAAGAACCGUAAUGCCAUUAAUUUGGUGUUGCGGGGAAACAGGACUGUUACUUUGAAAAAAUUAGAGUGUUUAAAGCAAGCUAACGCUUGAAUACAUUAGCUUGGAAUAAUGAAAUAGGACGAUCGAUCCUAUUUUGUUGGUUUCUAGGAUUGACGUA
rnacentral:rRNA from 1 species